UUUAAUAUUUACUGCUGGGCAAAAAAGAUGGUGGUCUGCAUUCAUCAGAACUCUUGAAUUCCCGCCUCCGUUCGGCUUCGAUUUACCCUUCCAAAUUCGCCAUUGAAUAGUUUUCUCUUCCUCACACUUGUGAAGGCCAAACACCAGAGCUUCAUGGCGCACCGGUAGGCCAUCUCUCUCUCUUCGUCUUUGCCGAUUCGAUUAAGCUUUUGUUUGUUUGUUGCGCUAUCACUAGUGAUUUCGAUCGUAUUCUUCGUUGUUUAUCUGCCAAUUUGAUAUGUUCUGUGGUUUCUGCUGAGUUUUUAGUAAGAAAAUUUAGCCUGCUGCUCAAAUUCUUCUAUUCUUGCCCAUUGAAACGCCCCUUCUCCCUUUCUAUUAUUUCUUGAUCCUUUCAAGAUGUUUCCAGUUCCCACGGGUUGAUGAUUGAAGAGCAUUUUCUUUCUAUAUGAGACUGUUACGAGGUCGUGAAAUUGCUGUAACUCGAAGAUUCUGCAUUUUUUUUUCCUUUGCAGUAGAACCAAUUCAUUGUCCACCUUCUUCUUCUUCAUGAAUCUUCGUUGCCUUCGAUUAUUCGAUAUUUAGGGGCCCUAUUAAGUGUGUCUCGGCUCUUGUCCAAUUUAGUUAUCCUAGCCCUAAUUUUCAGCCAUUUCUACACAUCCAGAGCUGUCCCCCAUUGAAAACAACCAUUUAUUUUAGUUCUCAUUCUCACCAAACAAGAUAGGGGCUUAGACGAACAAUACAAUUUCAUUUAUGAUUCUCCGCAGUACUAGAAUCCCUUAUCGUUUGAGCCAGACCCGUGGAUUUGUUGAUGCAAAAGUCAAAUGGGUUAGAGAUCCGUACCUCGAUUUUGCAGUUCAAAGAGAAAAAAACCUCAGACAAGUAAUCUCCCUUAAGAAUCUAAUCGUUUCGAAUCCUUCAAAAUCUCUUCCACUUUCCUCUGUCUCUUUGUUGAAACAGAACCUCAAAGUUCCCACAACCACUGUCUCUAAAUUCUUCCAAUUAUACCCCUCUGUUUUCACCCAAUUCCAGCCUAGUCCUGGCCUCCAUCCUCUUGUCAAGCUCACCCCACAAGCUCUAACUCUCCACAAGGAAGAAUCGACCAUUCAUAACUCUCAACCACAUAGAGAUGAUGUCGUGAAGAGGUUAGCGAAACUACUGAUGCUCACAGGAGCUGGAAGAUUGCCUCUAUAUGUCAUUGAGAGGCUGCAAUGGGAUCUGGGUCUGCCCUAUAAGUUCAUUCCAACUCUUCUUGCUGAUUAUCCUGAAUAUUUUCAGGUUUGUACUGUGAGAGACUGUUCAACAGGUGAACAAACUCUUGCAUUAGAGAUUCUUUCUUGGAGGAAAGAGCUUUCAAUCUCUGAAUUGAAGAGGAGGGAGUGCCCGGAUGGCAAUGUUUGGAGCAGGAAAGGAAAUCACAUUGCAUUUCCAAUGAGUUUGCCACAGGGUUUUGAUUUCGAGAAGAAGGUGAUGAAUUGGGUGGAGGAGUGGCAGCGCCUGCCCUACAUUUCGCCCUACGAAAAUGCAUUCCAUCUAGCACCAAAUAGCGAUCAAGCUGAGAAAUGGACAGUGGCAGUUCUUCAUGAGCUGCUUUACCUUCUGGUCUCGAAGAAAACCGAAAAAGAGAACAUCUUCUGCUUGGGAGAGUAUUUGGGGUUCGGUUCUAGGUUCAAGAAGGCCUUAGUUCAUCACCCUGGUAUCUUUUAUGUCUCAAACAAGAUUAGAACACAAACUGUGGUUCUUAGGGAAGCUUAUAGGAAGGACUUUCUGGUGGAAAAGCACCCUUUGAUGGGCAUGAGGCAUCAGUACAUUCACCUAAUGAACAAAGUUGUAAGAAGACCUAGACCAGGCAUUAUAUUAGCUUCUUCCAGAGGUAAAAGACAGAAUAAUCCAUAUUCCAAUAAAGAAGCUCAAGGAAGGAUGAAGCAGGACUGAAAGAAUCGUCCAUGCGAGUGACCGAACUGCAAAAUAAUGCAUGUGAUGAAUGAACUAUACCAUAAAAGCCUACGUGAAGUGAUAUGAGGCCUAGUUGACAUUAUGGAGAAUGUGAAUUCCAGCUACUUAAUUACGCAAUUGCAGUUGUAGGCAUUCUCAAAUACCAUAUAGUUUAAGUUCUAGCUUAUUUUCCACAUCAGUGAGGAGAAUGAAUGUGGGAAGCAACGACGAAUUAACAUGUGCAGAAUUUUGGUUAAUUAUAUAAAUUAGUAGUCCCUAGUGUUUGGGUUGUUUUUCA